rnacentral:rRNA from 1 species
GUCCACGCCGUAAACGAUGUCUACUAGCUGUUCGUGGUCUUGUACUGUGAGUAGCGCAGCUAACGCACUAAGUAGACCGCCUGGGGAGUACGGUCGCAAGAUUAAAAACUCAAAGAAAUUGACGGGGGCCCGCACAAGCGGUGGAGUAUGUGGUUUAAUUCGAUGCAACGCGAAGAACCUUACCUAGGUUUGACAUCCACGGAACCCUCCCGAAAAGGAGGGGUGCCCUUCGGGGAGCCGUGUGACAGGUGCUGCAUGGCUGUCGU